CUGUCUUGCAAUUGCUAGGCUAAUCUUCGUAACUGUAGCAUAUCAAAUUUAUUAUAAUUUCACUUUACCACCGGAAAGAUUACCAGAGGACAAGAGGACUCUUCCAGUUUAUGAGAUAAGGCUUCCAAGUUAGUCUGUUAGAAAGCUAUCUAUGUAGCUACUAACAUUAGCGAGAUAAUGGUUGGAGAUUAACGUUAGCUCGAUUAACUUCUAUCUGCACUGCCAUCAACGUCUAGCCUCCUAUGUUAGGUUAGCUACAUUUCUAGUUUAGAAUCAAGUGUCUCUGAUAGAAAAUACAAAUCCCUUAGGUUAGGAGUUUGACAUCAAUUACUAUUACUGGUUUGUCAAAUGUUCUAGGUUAGUUGACUAGCUGUUAGCUUUAACAAACUUGCUAGAUAACUUUGAGGCAAUGAUAGGCAGACAUCUUACAUUAGCUGAUUCAGCCCAUUUAUCUCUAACAUGGAAUGAUCAAAAUGACUAUUUCAAUUUUUUGGUCAGGUAGAGACAGAAAGAAGGGCGUAAAAUGGUUAAUCCAUGUGAGUUUUCGAAUUUGUCGGAUGAUGAGGGAAAUGAUACAGAGAAGACGGAGAUGCAGGACAGCUCUCCCAGUCCAGCGCCAAGUUUUGAGGAGGAGGAUUGGGACACUGAAAUCAACCAGCUAAAUAUGCCUUAUGGCCCAGAAGACCUUGUUAUGGAAGAUCCCCAUCUUAAAAUGCCAUUCCACGUCCCCGAUCACAAGCUGUCAGAGGUCAAGUACAAACCGUCUAUUCACCAUGUACCACCAGUGCGUAUUAUCCAAACACAGAAAGUGGUCGUUGAAGGAGAUCAAUUUGAGGACGCGGAGGAAUGAAGAGAAACUUUAUUAUGAAAGUUGUUUCCUGUCCUGAGCAAUUUGCACUUCGGUCUCCAACCUUAAAGGACGAUUUUUUUUUAGUAAGUUAAUUAAGUCUGUGAUUUGUUCUGAGGAUGUAAUCACCAAUUAAAAACAACAACCUGUCAGAGGAAGAAGGAGGUCUACAUUUAUGUUUCUGGCAUUUGAAGGACAUUGAUGCUACGGUGCUAGAGCAGAGCAAGGACCGCACGGAUAAAUGAUAAGUGAGGAAGAGGCUUUUUAUGUUUCACUUGUAUUAAUCAGAAUCAUCAUAUUGCUUUGGGAAAAAAAGUUGCAUCAUCCUCCUGAAACCUGCAUACUAUAAUAAAAGUGCUGUGAAACAGGCUCUUUCUUAUUCUUUAUUUGUAGAAGAUAAAAUGUGUUUUUCUGAAGUUGCACUUUUUUAAUGCAAUGCAUUGCAAUGUAUCCAAAUGACCACAAAGUGGUAGUAUUGUUCAGUUUACUUUUUUUUUUUUUUAACUACUACAGUGAAAGAUGUCUGUAGAAAUUGAUAAAGCAAAUACCAAAUACAUAAUGGUUCUGUAGACACCUGGGUCAGUAAAGACACCCUUGUCAAUCAUUUGGUCAAAAGGUCUUUGUGUAUAUUGUCACACGAACAUAUUUAGGGGCGGGGCUCAUAGGUUCAUAGAGGUAAUGUUAUCUUAGGAGCCUUGACAUAGCAUAGAUAGUGUGAAAAGAAACCAUUCCUUUGAACAAUGCAAGCAUCAUUUGGCCUUGGUCACAUGGCAAUGCCAGCAGACUGGGAACCACUGUAAUACAUAUUCAUUCAUGAAGUACCCUGUAUUGCGUAGACUGGAGGGAAAUUUCUUUAAAAGUUUACUGUAUUCUUUAGGAAGUGUGAUGAUUUGUUAUUUAAUCGAUUCAAUUCAAGGGUGUUACUGAAACAGGUGACUGAACUUAAUGUUUUUGGAUCAGUCUGC
ensembl:lncRNA